GGAAGUGUAGUUCAUAUGGUUAGAAUGUUUGUCUUUUACACAAGUUAAAUGGGUUCGAGUCCCGUCAUUUCCA
rnacentral:tRNA from 1 species